rnacentral:lncRNA from 1 species
GCGGCCGGACUGGCGGCUGUUGCUAAGAGACCGGAGCCAUGACACAGGGAAAUUGCGGCAGGAUGGCAGUAGGUACCCGGCCCGGCUUGGCUCUCAGGGGGGCACCCGCCCCCCGCCCCGCCCCCUCUACCCCCAGCCCCUCCCCCGCCUCCUCUCCAGCCUGCCGUCCGUCCCUUCGACAGCGACUUGUCCCCCUUCCCAAGAGGGGCACCAGGGGAGGCGACACCUGCACGGCGUGCUUGAACCAGGUCGGGGCGGGAUCGCGUAAGGCAAGGUGCUGAACGCAGCUGAAACGCCUUCAGCCUCAGCUGACAGCUUGGUUCUUUUUCCCCAACUACCUGUCUGAGCACCGAACCCAAGAGGAUCCAGAGAAACGCCAGCCCCUCCCAGGGAGUCCCCCAUCAGGAUCUGAGUGAUGCUGUCCCUGAAGACAGGGAUUAUUCUUCAGGUCUCUGUUCCCUCAGGCUCCCAUCCUCUCUGCUCUCCCUUUUUCUUAUUACAGUGCACACAGCCUCGCCCCCUACCCCACCUACACUUGAGAGUUUGCAGCGUGGAUGCCCCAAGAACACAACUGUUCUGUUUAAAGGCUUACUCUAGGAGAAUGAAAACCAACAGGACGCACUACUUCGUUUCCUCAGCCAUGAAGGAAUGGAAGGAAGGACUUGGAGUGUCACAGCUGAACCCACAAGGGAGGACUGCCAGCCAACUUGGAGUCUAGAAGCUGUGCUCCUCAGCUUGGACUUCAGGGCUCCAUCAGCAGUGCUGGUUCCUUGACUUUCUGUUCCCAUCUCUACUGGCCUGUGGGGACACUGGGGUUUUGAUGGUUUCUAUAUGUUUGGUGGUCCGGGGAGUGGCAUGAUUAGAAGGUAUGGCCCUGUUGGAGUAGGAGUGACCCUGUGGGUGUGGGCUAUAAGACCCUUAUCCUAGCUGCCUGGAAGUCAGUAUUCUGCUAGUGACCUUCAGAUGAAGAUGUAGAACUCUCAGCUCCUCCUGCACCCUGCCUGCCUGGAUGCUGCAAUGCUCCCACCUUGAUGAUAAUGGACUGAACCUCUGAACCUGUAAGCCAGUCGCAAUUAAAUGUUG